rnacentral:rRNA from 1 species
GAUGAACGCUGGCGGCGUGCCUAAUACAUGCAAGUCGAGCGGACAGACGAGGAGCUUGCUCCUCUGACGUUAGCGGAGGACGGGUGAGUAACACGUGGAUAACCUACCUAUAUGACGGGGAUAACUUCGAGACACCGGAGCUAAUACCGGAUAAUAUCUUGAUCCGCAUGGUUCAAUGGUGAAAGACGGCUUUGGUGUCACUUAUAGCUGGAUCCGAGCCGGAUUAGCUAGUUGGUAAGGUAACGGCUUACCAAGGCAACUAUGCGUGGGCGACCUGAGAGGGGGGUAGCCCACAUUAGAGCUGGACCACGGUCCAGGGUCCUACGAUAGGCAGCAGUAUCGAAUCUUCCGCAAUGGUCGAAAGCCUGACGGAGCGACGCGGCGUGAGUGAUGAAAGUCUUCGGAUCGUAAAACUCUGUUAUUAGGUAAGAACCAAUGUGUAAUUAACUAUGCACGUCUUGACGGUACCUAAUCAGAAAGCCACGGCUAACUACGUG